rnacentral:misc_RNA from 1 species
GAUGAAGAACGUAGCAAAAUGCGAUAAGUAAUGUGAAUUGCAGAAUUCAGUGAAUCAUCGAAUCUCUGAACGCACAUUGCGCCCGCCAGUAUUCUGGCGGGCAUGCCUGUUCGAGCGUCAUUUCAACCCUCAAGCACAGCUUGGUGUUGGGACUCGCGUUAAUUCGCGUUCCCCAAAUUGAUUGGCGGUCACGUCGAGCUUCCAUAGCGUAGUAGUAAAACCCUCGUUACUGGUAAUCGUCGCGGCCACGCCGUUAAACCCCAACUUCUGAAUGUUGACCUCGGAUCAGGUAGGAAUACCCGCUGAACUUAAGCAUAUCAAUAAGCGGAGGA